AGUGAACGCUGGCGGUAGGCCUAACACAUGCAAGUCGAACGGCAGCACAGUAAGAGCUUGCUCUUACGGGUGGCGAGUGGCGGACGGGUGAGGAAUACAUCGAAAUCUACUUUUUCGGGGGGGAUAACGUAGGGAAACUUACGCUAAUACCGCAUACAACCUACGGGUGAAGGCAGGGGAUCUUCGGACUUUGCGCGAUUGAUUAAGCCGAUGUCGGAUUAGCUAGUUGGCGGGGUAAAGGCCCACCAAGGCGACGAUCCGUAGCUGGUCUGAGAGGAUGAUCAGCCACACUGGAACUGAGACACGGUCCAGACUCCUACGGGAGGCAGCAGUGGGGAAUAUUGGACAAUGGGCGCAAGCCUGAUCCAGCCAUACCGCGUGGGUGAAGAAGGCCUUCGGGUUGUAAAGCCCUUUUGUUGGGAAAGAAAAGCAGCAGGUUAAUACCCCGCUGUUCUGACGGUACCCAAAGAAUAAGCACCGGCUAACUUCGUG
rnacentral:rRNA from 1 species